UACGUAGGCAGCAAGCGUUGUUCGGAGUUACUGGGCGUAAAGGGCGUGUAGGCGGCUUCGCAAGUCCGGCGUGAAAUCUCCUGGCUUAACUGGGAGGGUGCGCCGAAAACUGCGGAGCUGGAGCGCAGGAGAGGAAAGCAGAAUUCCUGGUGUAGCGGUGAAAUGCGUAGAUAUCAGGAGGAAUACCGGUGGUGAAGGCGGCUUUCUGGACUGCUGCUGACGCUGAUGCACGAAAGCGUGGGGAGCAAACAGG
rnacentral:rRNA from 1 species